UGGUUCCAGCAUCGAUGAAGAACGCAGCGAAAUGCGAUAAAUAAUGUGAAUUGCAGAAUUCAGUGAAUCAUCGAGUCUUUGAACGCACAUUGCGCCCUUUGGUAUUCCGAAGGGCGCGCCUGUUCGAGCGUCAUUACAAACCAUCAAGCUUGCUUGAAGUUGAGCGUGCCUACUCAUGGGCUGCUCGAAAGACUUUGGCUUCGUUUUGCAGAUUGCCAGUGACGCAUCACAAACAUUCUGCAGAAACGUGCCUUUCAACGUUUUCUACGGUUGACCUCGGAUCAGGCGGGAAUACCCGCUGA
rnacentral:misc_RNA from 1 species